rnacentral:rRNA from 1 species
AAUAACUCAGGGAAACUUGUGCUAAUACCGAAUGUGCCCUUCGGGGGAAAGAUUUAUCGCCUUUAGAGCGGCCCGCGUCUGAUUAGCUAGUUGGUAGUGUAAUGGACUACCAAGGCGACGAUCAGUAGCUGGUCUGAGAGGAUGAUCAGCCACAUUGGGACUGAGACACGGCCCAAACUCCUACGGGAGGCAGCAGUGGGGAAUCUUGCGCAAUGGGCGAAAGCCUGACGCAGCCAUGCCGCGUGAAUGAUGAAGGUCUUAGGAUUGUAAAAUUCUUUCACCGGGGACGAUAAUGACGGUACCCGGAGAAGAAGCCCCGGCUAACUUCGUGCCAGCAGCCGCGGUAAUACGAAGGGGGCUAGCGUUGCUCGGAAUUACUGGGCGUAAAGGGAGCGUAGGCGGACAUUUAAGUCAGGGGUGAAAUCCCGGGGCUCAACCUCGGAAUUGCCUUUGAUACUGGGUGUCUUGAGUAUGAGA